CCUGCUGCAUCCCCACCAGGCUCCCAGCAAGUUUCCUCCAAACCCUGCCCUUCCGGAGUCCCAGUGAAAAAUGCUGUCCCACCCCUGAAAAAUUCUGUUCCGGAUGUCUGCGUUUCCACCACCCUCAGCUCUGGGGAAGCUCUUGACCUGGUGGCGCCAGACCCCAGCCUUUCUCCCCUCCUCGGGGGCUGAGUAUUAAAUGGUUAGUGAGAAAGUUGGUUGAGAGGAUCGGGGGACACACUGCAUGGUCCGGAGGCAAACAGCAGGCCAGUUUCCGUUCUCUGCCCCCAUCAAGGGCCUUAGUCCCGGAGUCCUCAGGAGCAGGGUGGUUGUGAGGAACGAGUGGACUACUCUGUGUCAAGUGCCUGACUGAGAGGACGAGGAGCUCAGUACAUGCUGAAUUUAGAGCUUCUCCAGCCAUGAAGGGGCGGGGGCUCGGUGAAGGCCUGACAGCAAACGAAGCAGCACCACGGAAGCUCCUUCGGGUCCGUCUCCGGCCUCUUCCAGACCAAAGGCCAGCCCUGAAGGGGAACAUGGCCCUGGGCCAUGUCAGUGGAGUGUGGCUCUGAGACUUGGCCUCUCAUCCCAGCUCACAGGAGUCAAGGUCCUCUCUCCACUCUGCAUACACAGACGAGCACUGGGCAAGUACGAUCACAAGGAAUAAGGAUUUUGGCAUUCUGCUUUGGAACGGUGACUGUGUCUGGGUCUACACGGUAAUGAUGGGGUCUCACCCUUUCCCCCACCUCCUUCCCUCCACCCCCUCUACCCAUCCGUCCACCGUAUUCCAUCCCACAGUGGGAGACCUGUCCCCACUCCCCAUGUUUCCAUAAGGGGAGAGAAUUCCCACUCCACUCUCCUGGAGGGGAAGGGUGAGAGGACCACUCCCUAAAUCCUCACAGGCUUCAUCCUCCCCAGAGGAAGGGAAUGGCUUGGCUACAUUCUCCAAUCCGCUUUAUCACAAAUACUGGUAAAGCCCCCAUUUUGAUGUC